GGACAUCACAGUCCACUUGGAGCUUGGGAACGGUCUACUUGCUCCAAGCAACUUAAUUUGCAAAAUCAGAAAAAGAGGAAUAACAGAGGAAUUGGGGCACGGAUGAGCAAACGAUGAAGAGAGAUGAAGUUUUGGCUGGAAGGAGACAUCAUGGCAGUCUGAGUCUAACGGGGGAAGAAAAGGAAAGAGGACAACGCUGAUCAGAAAAGACGUGACCUCAUUAGAGAGACAUCUUACAAGCUGAUAACAUGUUAUUAUCCAGGAGGAAUUCGGUAAUCGCUAUGUAACAGCUGUUUCCCUUCCUCGCAAUUACAAAUUCCAUCAGCGUGACGCCACAACAUGUCAGCCUCGGCGGGAUCCAGCUGAAGAAAUUUACUUCAACUUUACAUCUAGAAAAUUAAAGAAAAAGUCAUAAUAAAACAAGACAGGAAUGGACUGGACAACCUUGAGCCUAUCGAAGUGGAUGGGAUAGAAGGCCAACCAUCCAGCCAUACGAAGCAGCCUAAACCUUCCCCUCAGAUGUGUUUUCUAAGGGAGAAGGCCUUUUUGGAGCCACGGAUCACUCAGCACAGUCUGGCAGUUUCCCGAAAUCUUCUUACGUCAAACCAGGUGGCGAUGGAGUGAUGAAGUCUUUCCUCAGAGGCAGCCGAGGCUUCGGAGCUCAGCGGAGCAGGUGUCCAGCUGGGUAUCACUAUCCCAGAAGUCAAAGUGUUGUGUUUUCGUUUUUUGUUUUUUUUUUAUAGUUCACCAAAACCAUUUUGUAUCAUUGACGGCUCUUGGCUUCUGUGCAACUACAAGUGCCAGCAUACCUCAUAUUAGAGUCAAAAAGAUCCUAAAAAUAUGAUAUUUAGGUGGAAGUAAUUAUAAUAGCAAGCUAAAUUUAUAUUC